rnacentral:rRNA from 1 species
AUUGAACGCUGGCGGCAUGCCUUACACAUGCAAGUCGAACGGCAGCACGGGUGCUUGCACCUGGUGGCGAGUGGCGAACGAGUGAGUAAUAUAUCGGAACGUACCUUAUUGUGGGGGAUAACGCAGCGAAAGCUGUGCUAAUACCGCAUAAUCCCUAAGGGGGAAAGCGGGGGACCGUAAGGCCUCGCGCAAUUAGAGCGGCCGAGACCUGACUAGCUAGUUGGUGAGGUAAAGGCUCACCAAGGCAACGAUCAGUAGCUGGUCUGAGAGGACGAUCAGCCACACUGGGACUGAGACACGGCCCAGACUCCUACGGGAGGCAGCAGUGGGGAAUUUCGGACAAUGGGGGCAACCCUGAUCCAGCAAUGCCGCGUGAGUGAAGAAGGCCUUCGGGUUGUAAAGCUCUUUUGUCAGGGAAGAAACAGCAGCUCUAACACAGUUUGCGAAUGACGGUACCUGAAGAAUAAGCACCGGCUAACUACGUGCCAGCCGCCGCCGUAA